UCUCGAUUAGUAUAGUGGUCAGUAUGCCAGCUUGUCAUUCGUUCCUCGAAUUCGCUGGAGACCGGGGUUCAAUUCCCCGAUCGAGAG